UACAGGGGGGGCAAGCGUUGUUCGGAAUUACUGGGCGUAAAGGGCUCGUAGGUGGCCAACUAAGUCAGACGUGAAAUCCCUCAGCUUAACUGGGGAACUGCGUCUGAUACUGGAGGGCUUGAGUGUGGGAGAGGGAUGCGGAAUUCCAGGUGUAGCGGUGAAAUGCGUAGAUAUCUGGAGGAACACCGGUGGCGAAGGCGGCAUCCUGGACCAUGACUGACGCUGAGGAGCGAAAGCCAGGGGAGCAAACGGG
rnacentral:rRNA from 1 species